UAAUUGGGAAUGGGAAGGGUUAAGUGAAAACGAUAAGGAAGUGAAAGGAUAAGUAAAAGUAUGAAAGAAUGUUGUUAAGGUUAAGCAUGGGUGGGAAAGCAUAUAGAGAGUCUAAGGAAAGUAGGUGGGGUAGUAGUCCACGCUAGGUAUCCAUAGGAGAUGUGGCGAAUCCACAUGAAUAUGGAAGCACCCAUAGGAGAUGUGGCCAAUCCACAUGAAUAUGGGGUAGAAGCCUAGUGGGGGGGCUACCCACUGAGGAAAAGAUGAAAAGGAUGAAAAGAUGAAAAGGAUGUGCAUUGUAGGGUUUUAGCUCAUGGUCGGGUAACAGGAAGUUAAAGAAGUCAUAGGAUCGAGUCGGACUGGUAAGAUGAUUCGGUUAGGUCUAGGGUUGGCGUGUGUGGCAAUGAGUGAGAUCAUUGUAUUGAUUGAUUACUAGGUUGUUAGAAAUGAAUGGAAGUGUGUGUAGAAAUUACAGAUGGUGAUAGGAAAUGAUAAAAAUGCAUUAACUGAUUGUAGUGGCUAGUCGGUCCUAGUUCCGCAUAGAGUAGUAUAGAGUGUCAUGCGGGCAGGCUGGUCUAGAGUCACUUCACUGAGUAACUUGUUGCUCACCCUCCCUCCAUUUCCAUUUUUCCCUGUGCGCAGAACUGUAAGUAGAAGUAUAUGGAUGUGGGUGUGACGGUAUUUCAAAGAAGGUUAUGCGCUCGUCUCUCGGGACCAGUAACGGGACACGUAGGGUUGUCUAAAUGAGUAGACACGUGUCCAUAACGCCCCUUCAAUAACCCCGGUCGGACGCCGGGGGAUCGGGCUGUUACAAUUGGUAUCAGAGCGGGUUAAGAUCCCUUAGUUCUGUCCUAAGGGAUCGGCAUUUCCGACGUUUUCAAAAAAAAAAAAAAAAAAAACUUGUUUUCACUAAAAGAAAAGAGCGUGUGAAAGUUUUGAUUUUUCUGAAAGUUGUGAACGAUUUCAAAACCAUCCACUAUAUCUAUGCUUCUAUUAUGGUUCUGAUCGGAUGUCUACUUGAAGGAUGUCUUCGAUAAUUACGGGUAUCGUGGACCUGCAUGGUGGAACCCGAACUACACUCGGACUCAGCGCAUCAUAAAGAGAAAGGUGGUACCCCAUCGGUGACGCCCAUUAAUGAAGUUCCAUCGCCAGACACAUGAGUUGGAGUGGUUGGAGGAAAGCCAGAGAUGGAAACCCGACUAAUGUAACUACCGAGAGCGUGAAGGUUGUGGCGGAUAUCAUGGGUUUGGAGGAACAUUAGAGGUGCAGUGAAACAAGUUGAGGUCAUAAGUCAAUGAAGGUAUUUCCCGAGGAAGGACAUAUAUCUAAUAGAGGGCUAGUUCUAGGAUAUCCGCCAAAGAGACAUGAUUGUAAGGGAAUACAAUAAGGAUGUAACCCCCUAAGAAGAUUUGUCGGGCACUCUCUAAGGGGGCGAGAACUGAUUCACCGCUUCCUGAAGGAAAUGAGAACCGAUCUGAAGAAUAGUUGUAACGUACAAGAUUACUGGGAUCAUGAGCUAAUCUAGAAGGGUGCAGAGCUAUAGUUUUGGUUGUAAGAAGAUCAUAGGCUAACCAAGCAUCACAUACUCAGAGCCCAAGGGGAACUUGCGACAUCACCAUUACCACAAGGCGGUUUCGUUGUGACAAGAGCGGAAGUGCGAGAAGAACCACACUAUGAUAUAAUGGAUGGGAGCAUACUACCAGUACAAUCAGUAGGGCUAUGAUAGGAGGUUCGUUCAUCAAAGAAAACAUGGUUAGACCGAAGGACUCAGAGGACGAGGAUAUGUUCGGUGUGGAGUAGCUAAACACCAAGUCGGGGCUGAUGGACUCAACUAGUAGGAUCCACGGUUGAAGUGUUAUCCUAACUACCGGUCCCGGCAAGGGCAACUUCAAUUGGGGCUACCUGGAUUAGGACCGAGGGAGUAUAGAGAAUGAUGACCAUAGAGUGUAUGUGGUAGUGUUAAUAUCUCUCGACGGUGUGAACCUACAUGGAGAUCUGUUGGGGUUGGAGUUUGGAAUGAUAUAAACUGAUAGAAUUUUGGGAUGCGUAUUUAAAGGUGUACCAGUGUUCGGGGAUGUUGCAGUGUGUUAGGGAUAGCAUCGGGACUUAGCGAGAAUCUAUACGGAGGUCAAAGAUUAAUGAAUAGGAAGAGAGCUAGGAAAGCAGACCGAGACCAAGCAUGUGGAGUUAAUGUAUUGUAUUGGCAUGUACUCAUAAUCCUCGAUAGGAGAGGAGAGUAGUCCUUAAUGGAAUAAGGAUUAGGAUAUGGAUAUAAGCUAUCUUGAUGUUGAAAGCUGAAGAGUUAAGUGGAAAGGAGAAUGAUUUGUAUUUGGAAGUGAAAGCUUUAAAUAUUGGAUACCAUUGCUGAAGUAGCCGGGUAUGCAGACGCUUUUGAGCAUUUUUUAAGGACCCAUGGAACUGAGAGAGUGCAUACACCAUAGAGCAGAAAUACAGAACAUCGUCUAGUCAAAGGAACCAUAUCGGUUAGCACCAUAUAAUUCGUUGAGUUGUCGUAACCUACAACAAGUAGUUUUGGAGUUCACUAAGAGCGAUUUGACAUUACGGUAUUGCCAGAUUCUGAUAUCAAAGAAAAAUAUCCAGAAGACAACAUUACGAGUUGGUAAUGGACAUUACCAGUUGUAGAAGUGGAUGUACGAUGCCGCAAGCGUAUUAAGAUCAGCACGCAGUAGUGAUGAUCGAAGACACAAUAUUCUAUUCCACCAGAAAAGUGUGAUGGUACUUGGGAGUAGCUUGUUAAGUUUCGUAAGAUGAAGUGCUCGCUAAGUUAAUCAACGGAGAUGUGGUUGGGUACCACGCAACGGUGAAGGAAGAUCAUGGGACAAGUUUAUUGGUCGCAAUGGGCAUUAUAUUGGGCAUCAAACAGAUUUAUCAGAAUUCGAAGAGGAACUGCCAUGGGUAAAGAUAAAGAGAAUUUUAAUGGAGCUUUGCAGUUGAGAUCUUUCUUUUUUUUAGUUGAGAACAGUGGGGUGUGAGGCCGUAUAUGAUUGAUGCAAGAGUUGUAUGUGUCAAAAUGGAAAUGGAAUAUGAUAACAAUAUAUUUUUGUUGUUGGGUCGCCAAGGACAUGGCAAUCAACCUAUGUGGUGUACAUGUGUGUUGAGCUUAGAGAGGAAGUUGGUUAAUGGAUAUGAUAUUAGUUGAAUCCAUGCAAGACAUUAGUUACGACUCGAGCAAAUGGAUAUCCCCUAUGAGAAUUGUAGGAACAACCAUGUUGAAUCCCUUAUGUUGGACCAAAGUGGGGGAGAUCAGAAUCUCGAGCCUGAGAUGAUCCAGGAAACCGCUUAGCAGAUAUAAUUGUUGAUGAUGAGCUAUUUUAUGAAAGGAUAGAAGAGGUACAUGACCAUCAGAGAAUUACGUCGACAAGAGAGGUGGUGAUAUAGAAAUGCAUAUGAGAUGAAAGCAAUCUAGGGAUGAGAACGCUGUUGGAGAAUCGAUUUGGGAUUUAAGAGGACGUUGGAUCUCCGUGAGCAAUAUGGAACCUGGUCUGUUGCAUGAACCAUUAGAUUUCAAAGGACGAGUUGUUUACCCAUUUGGGUUCGGGAUGUUAGAGUUGGAGUAUCGACACACGGAAUUCGGGGACGAAUUCCAUUCAAGUGGGGGAGAAUUGUAACGGCCCGGUUCCUGGCCCAAAAACUUUUAUAAAGAAAUGGGCUUCUCUACGGCCCGUUUGACAAAAAACCUAGGGUUUCUUCCUUCCAUCCUAUAAAAGGAGCUGCAGCCACCUUCUUUUGUCUCAUCACAAAUCUGAAGCGAAGCUCUGCAGAGAAUUCCCGGAGGCCGAAAACCCUAGCCGUCGACCUCUCUCCCUCCUGCGCCGUCUCUCUCUUCUUCUUCUCUCCCUCUCCGUGAUCUCUCUUCUCUCUCCCUCCUCCUCGCCGGUGCCGUGGUGGUGGUGACCAGAUCUCUCGUCUCUCUCUUGUUUACUUGUUCCAGAUCUGUUCAGAUCUCCUCAUCCUUGUUUCCAGAUCCAGAUCCAGAUCUAGACUAAGGUGGAGUGUUUCGAACCCAACCUUCUUUCAUGGUUCUGUAUACUCCUAUAUGUUGGAGUUAGGUUUGAUUAGGCCCUGUUUGGGAGUUAGGUUGAUAGUACAUGGUAUUGCUAGGAUGAUAGAUGAAUGGAUCAUGAUGCAUAAGAACUCUCAUAUUGAUAAAUGGGACUUGAUGAACUGAAUUGAAUUGUUGUGGUAAUGGUUGAUUGGUAGUUGAUACUUGUCUGUUAGGUUGUGUUGUCCCAUGUGUGGUUGUGAUUGAAGUUAGGAUGCUAGAGAGAAAUAAAUGCUGGGAUGAUAGAUGAGCAAUGAUUAUCGAAGUAUUUGAGGUAGAACUUGAAUGCGAUGUGUAUUGUGGGUGACACUGAUAACGGGUGGCGUCUAGUGAUUGAGUCCAAGUUCAAGUAGGAAUGAAAAGGGAGGUAAUUGGGAAUGGGAAGGGUUAAGUGAAAACGAUAAGGAAGUGAAAGGAUAAGUAAAAGUAUGAAAGAAUGUUGUUAAGGUUAAGCAUGGGUGGGAAAGCAUAUAGAGAGUCUAAGGAAAGUAGGUGGGGUAGUAGUCCACGCUAGGUAUCCAUAGGAGAUGUGGCGAAUCCACAUGAAUAUGGAAGCACCCAUAGGAGAUGUGGCCAAUCCACAUGAAUAUGGGGUAGAAGCCUAGUGGGGGGCUACCCACUGAGGAAAAGAUGAAAAGGAUGAAAAGAUGAAAAGGAUGUGCAUUGUAGGGUUUUAGCUCAUGGUCGGGUA
rnacentral:lncRNA from 1 species